CUCUGUGACUCCUACGGGAGGCAGCAAGUAAGGAAUAUUGGUCAAUGGACGCAAGUCUGAACCAGCCAUGCCGCGUGAAGGAUGAAGGUCCUCUGGAUUGUAAACUUCUUUUAUAGGGGGCGAAAAAAGGUUUUUCUAAAUCACUUGACAGUACCCUAUGAAUAAGCACCGGCUAACUCCGUGCCAGCAGCCGCGGUAAUACGGAGGGUGCAAGCGUUAUCCGGAUUCACUGGGUUUAAAGGGUGCGUAGGCGGUAGGUAAGUCAGAGGUGAAAAUCCUGGAGCUUAAACUCCAGAAACUGCCUUUUGAUACUAUCUAUCUUGAAAUAUGGUGGAGGUAAGCGGAAUAUGUCAUGUAGCGGUGAAAAUGCAUAGAUAUGACAUAGAACACCUAUUGCGAAGGCAGCUUACUACGCCUAUAUUGACGCUGAGGCACGAAAGCGUGGGGAUCAAACAGGAUUAGAUACCCUGGUAG
rnacentral:rRNA from 1 species